AGAGGGAGGAGGCAAGGGCUGGGCCUCGAGCUUAAAUCACAGGGCAGGCCUAGUCCACGCCUUGGUCCAAAUGACUUGAUAACCUUCCCCGAGUGCAGUAUAAAGGUUGUUUCCUUCCAUUUUGAACAGACUGCCAAAAAACUUUUUUUUAAAUUUCUCCCAACAAAGAUGCUGUGUUUCACUCAAAAUGCACCACAAAAAUCUAUCUUCAAUCUAUAAAUGUUUCUUACCAAGUACCACAUUUAAGCUCAAGUCCUUUCACACAAAUUCCGUAAACAUUGGAAAGCCACUUCAGUUCUCCAUACACAAUGAUGACUCUUUGGCACCCCAACUUGUAUCAAUCUUGCAAACCUGUACCGACCCUUCUGGUCUCUCACAAGGUCGCCAGGCCCAUGCCCAGAUGCUUGUCAACGGAAUUGGCUACAAUGGGAUUCUCGGUACCAAGCUUUUGGGGAUGUAUGUGCUUUGUGGUGCCUUCUUAGAUGCUAAGAACAUAUUUUAUCAGCUUCGACUUUGGUGUUCUGAGCCUUGGAAUUGGAUGAUUAGGGGUUUUACUAUGAUGGGUCAGUUUGAUUUUGCCUUGUUGUUUUACUUUAAGAUGUUGGGCUGUGGCACUUUGCCUGAUAAAUAUACUUUUCCUUAUGUGAUUAAGGCUUGUGGUGGCUUGAAUAGCGUGGCCUUGGGAAGGGUAGUUCAUGAUAAGAUUCAGUUUAUGGGUUUUGAGUUGGAUGUGUUUGUGGGUAGUUCUUUGAUAAAGUUUUAUUCGGAGAAUGGUUGCAUUCAUGAUGCCCGUUAUUUGUUUGAUAGAAUGCCGAGCAAAGACGGUGUUUUGUGGAAUGUGAUGCUUAAUGGUUACGUGAAAAAUGGGGACUGGGAUAAUGCUACAGGGGUGUUUAUGGAAAUGAGGAGAACUGAAACUAAUCCUAAUUCUGUAACAUUUGCUUGUGUUCUGUCUGUCUGCGCUUCUGAGAUAAUGAUUAAUUUUGGUUCACAGCUUCAUGGGCUUGUUGUCAGUUCUGGGUUGGAGAUGGAUUCUCCAGUAGCAAACACAUUGUUAGCCAUGUAUGCAAAAUGUGGGCACUUGUUUGACGCACGUAGGUUGUUUGAUAUGAUGCCUAAAACUGAUUUGGUGACUUGGAAUGGGAUGAUUUCUGGGUAUGUCCAGAAUGGGUUUAUGGAUGAGGCUUCAUGUUUGUUUCAUGAGAUGAUUUCUGCUCGUAUGAAACCAGACUCUAUCACAUUCUCAAGUUUCCUUCCAUUGCUUUCUGAAGGGGCAACUCUCAGACAAGGUAAGGAAAUUCAUUGCUAUAUUAUCAGGAAUGGUGUGUCCUUGGAUGUGUUUUUGAAGAGUGCACUUAUUGAUAUAUACUUUAAGUGCAGGGAUGUGGAGAUGGCACGCAAGAUUUUCGACCAAAGAACCCCUGUAGAUAUUGUGGUGUGCACAGCUAUGAUUUCAGGUUAUGUACUAAAUGGGAUGAAUAACAAUGCCUUGGAAAUUUUCCGGUGGUUGCUUCAAGAGAGAAUGAGAGCCAAUUCAGUAACACUGGCAAGUGUCUUACCUGCUUGUGCUGGUCUGGCUGCCUUGACAUUGGGGAAGGAAUUGCAUGGUCACAUACUCAAGAAUGGACAUGGAGGAAGCUGCUAUGUAGGAAGUGCAAUAAUGGACAUGUAUGCAAAAUGUGGAAGAUUGGACUUAGCUCAUCAAACUUUUAUUGGAAUAUCUGAUAAAGAUGCUGUCUGUUGGAAUUCAAUGAUCACAAGCUGUUCCCAGAAUGGCAAACCUGAAGAAGCUAUUGAUCUUUUCCGUCAAAUGGGGAUGGCAGGAACCAAGUAUGACUGUGUGAGCAUAUCAGCUGCUCUUUCAGCUUGUGCAAAUUUACCAGCACUCCAUUAUGGAAAGGAGAUCCAUGCUUUUAUGAUGAGAGGUGCGUUCAGAUCUGACCUUUUUGCUGAGAGUGCAUUAAUAGACAUGUAUUCUAAAUGCGGGAACUUGGACCUUGCUUGCCGUGUUUUUGACACGAUGGAAGAGAAGAAUGAAGUUUCAUGGAAUAGCAUUAUAGCUGCUUAUGGGAACCAUGGUCGCCUCAAGGACUCUCUUAAUCUGUUCCAUGGAAUGUUGGGAGAUGGAAUUCAGCCUGACCAUGUCACAUUUCUUGCCAUUAUAUCUGCUUGUGGCCAUGCGGGGCAAGUUGAUGAAGGAAUUCACUACUUUCGUUGCAUGACUGAAGAAUUGGGUAUAAUGGCUAGGAUGGAGCAUUACGCAUGCAUGGUUGAUUUAUUUGGACGUGCUGGCCGUUUGAAUGAAGCCUUCGGAAUGAUAAAUAGCAUGCCAUUCAGUCCAGAUGCUGGUGUAUGGGGGACUUUACUUGGAGCUUGUAGACUUCAUGGAAAUGUUGAGCUUGCAGAAGUGGCAUCAAGAAAUCUAUUUGAUUUGGAUCCACAAAAUUCCGGAUAUUAUGUAUUACUAUCAAAUGUACAUGCAAAUGCUGGGCAAUGGGAGAGUGUUCUUAAGAUACGGAGCUUGAUGAAGGAAAGAGGAGUGCAGAAGGUACCUGGUUGCAGCUGGAUAGAUGUCAAUAACACCACCCAUAUGUUUGUUGCUGCAGACAGAAGUCACCCACAGUCUUCUCAGAUCUAUCUUUUACUGAAGAAUCUUUUCUUGGAGCUGAGAAAAGAGGGUUAUGUUCCUCAACUCUACCUUCCAAUGCACCCACAAACCAUGGGGUUACAGUCAUCAGAAAAAGGUUGAUCAUUGCUUUUGAUGGUGGCAGCAACUGAAAAGGGCAACUACUGUUGCUAGUGAAGAACAGUAAGCAGUUGAGCUGCAGCUUUUGAAGUUGUUUAUCUGCUGGCCUCCUUGGUUUUUUCAGUUGUGCUGCCCUUCCCUUUGUGUUUGCGAGCUCCUAUCUCUUUAUGACAUUCAAGGUUCCAGAGCAGUUGGUCAUUGAGCUUAUUGGAGUUUCUUCUACCUUUGAUCCAGUUCAUCCUGACUAGGGCAUCAGCUUUCUUCAUGGGCUUGCACUCACACCUGCGCACAUGCAUGCAUGCACACGCGCGAGCACACACAUCGACAAUAUCUCCUUUAUUACUUUGAAAUCUGGCCAUUGAAUUAGCUAAACUUGCC